rnacentral:lncRNA from 1 species
AGGCUUUUGUGCUGGCUGCUCUUUGUAUUGGAGGCGCGCACUGUGUGAGCUGUACUAGGCAAGGCUGGGCCAUGUGAGUGGGGGCCGCGGCAGGGACCAGCGGCCAGGCCUCCACCUCCUAGCAGCCCCUUGCUGUGUCUCUCUGGAGACACCACUGCAGUCCACUAGAGACUGGAAAGUGAAAAUGCUCAAGUUCAAGGCCUUUUGCCUGGAUUACUGGCAGUUCCUGUGCCUGCAGCCGUUGCAUGGGGCCUAUAAAAGGUAAGCAGAUCCCCCUCUGCAGAGGACCUAGGCCUUGAGGGCAAUGGGAUCAAGAAAGAAAGUUCAGCCCGAAGUCUGCCCAGCUAUAUGACUGUCCUAUUUCAGCUCAGGGUCCCCACACUGGCUAGGAAUGCUGGUGGCACUUAGUGUGGUCCACUGUGCAACUUGGCUUAACAAUCCUUCCUCUCCCUCCAGGCUGCUACUAGAAGGGGUUCUGCAAAGGCAUGGUUCCUUGGGCAUGCUAGAGUAUAGCACUGCUGCGUAAUUCUUGCUGCUGUGUCAACCCAGGGAGCCACUGAGGUGCUGAAUAGGUCUGGCUUCCAAGAAGGCAACAAUGUAGCCCUGGCCUAUAGUCACACUUCUUCCAGUAAAAGAGUUACUAUGACAAGUGAAUUGGUUGAUUCCACCACUCAGCACAGAUCUGGGAUGGCAGACUGGGGACCACCUGACCCUGAGGUCAGAGGACUGAAAUUGAGCAUCUUUCCUCCAAGUACCACCUGGGACAGGCCACUUUUUUUUUUUUUUUUUGAGCCCAUUUCCCCAUCAGCAGGAAGUUGGACCUGACAGCUGUAAUAAGUGGGAUUUGAGUGUUGCUUCCCACAUUGACAAGGACUGCAGGGGCUGAAAGCCUGUGUGUGUGUGUGUGUGUGUGUGUGUGUGUGUGUGUGUAUGAGUGGAUAAAUGUAUGAGAAUGUCUAUGAGUAUGUGUGUGGGGGGUUAUGAGUCUUUAUAUCUUUGGAAAGUAUAUAUAAAGUAUUUAAAUGGGGUGUGUGUGUGUAUGUGUGUGUGUGGUCUCCAUGUACACUCUGCUCAAGUUAUUCGUGCUGUGUCCUGCAGUAGAGUGCCAUGUGGUCAUGGCAGGGACAUCUGAAUGGUUGUAAUUACAAACUUCAAGAAACAAACUAUUUCAUCCACUCUGGGGGGAAUUACUUUUUCCUGAUCUCACACUCUGUGAAGUUCAUGGCCAUUAGUAUGCAUGCAGUUCUGGGAAAGUGUGGAAGCUUUGCUUUCCACUCCUAGAGGGCUUUCUUGGAAGAGGAUGCUGAGGGUCCCACAGCCACUAUAGAAAGGAAGUCUCCAUACUUGGGGGAGUGCCAAGCAGUGAGGCCCGUCCUGCAUCUGAUUACUCCAGCCACAUGAGCUGUAGGUGCUUGCAUCAGGGUCUCAGCACACACAGUACAUACAGCUGGAGAGACUUUUGUCUCUUAGGUUAUGUGUGUCCCUCCAGAACCGAAUGCCCUGUGUGCCCAGGAACACCUGUGCUUGAGUCUUAGAAUGAGGGUGGAGCAUUAUACUGUUGUUAAUCUCAGCCCCACCCCCACCCCCACCCCC